rnacentral:rRNA from 1 species
GAUGAACGCUGGCGGCGUGCCUAAUACAUGCAGGUCGAGCGAAUGGAUUAAGAGCUUGCUCUUAUGAAGUUAGCGGCGGACGGGUGAGUAACACGUGGGUAACCUGCCCAUAAGACUGGGAUAACUCCGGGAAACCGGGGCUAAUACCGGAUAACAUUUUGAACCGCAUGGUGCGAAAUUGAAAGGCGGCUUCGGCUGUCACUUAUGGAUGGACCCGCGUCGCAUUAGCUAGUUGGUGAGGUAACGGCUCACCAAGGCAACGAUGCGUAGCCGACCUGAGAGGGUGAUCGGCCACACUGGGACUGAGACACGGCCCAGACUCCUACGGGAGGCAGCAGUAGGGAAUCUUCCGCAAUGGACGAAAGUCUGACGGAGCAACGCCGCGUGAGUGAUGAAGGCUUUCGGGUCGUAAAACUCUGUUGUUAGGGAAGAACAAGUGCUAGUUGAAUAAGCUGGCACCUUGACGGUACCUAACCAGAAAGCCACGGCUAACUACGUGCCAGCCGCCGCUGUAA